GCCAAACACAUGGCUAUGUAAGCUAUGUAUGAAGUUCAAAGAAAUGUCUGUAGCCAUCUGAAGCAGGAUUGUUUCGAGGCACAGGUCUGGAGAAGGGUACAGAAACAUUUCUGCAGCAUUGAAGGUCCCAGUGGGCACAGUGGCCUCCAUCAUCCGUUAAAUGGAAGAAGUUUGAAACUUCCAGGUCUCUUCAUAGAUCCUGGACUUAUGCACCCCCAUUCUGGACUCCAAAUGCCUUUGAAAGCUUAUCUCCAAGGUCGAGGUCAGACGGCGGGUCUAGGCCCAGCGCUGGAUUAAGCACUGGGCAAGAUGGCUCUGUCUACAUCGGCUCACUUCUCACCCCCUUACUUGUCAUGUGCUUCUUGGAUUUGUGAUGUCAAGAUGUAUGUGCUCUCUGUGCACAUACAUGGCUGGUUGUUGCUCCUCCAAAUGCGUCCCACAAUCGCAUCCACCUUUCCCUGGAUUUGAAAGACAGUUGGGCGGUGUAUCCUUCAUGGCCCACCUUAUCCCAGGAUUCAUUGCGGGCUAAACAGGAGAAUUUUGUUUUUAUAACAAUGGUGGACAAGGCAGGAGAGCAGUACACUUUUAGAUGGACCAAAGAGCAGACAGCUCUAUUCAUACGAAUAAGAGGUGAAAAUGAUCACCUCUUUACCAGGGUCAAGAAUCGGCCACUGUGGCACUGAGGACAAUUCUGAAGAAGAUGGCCUGCAGGGAAAAGUCACUGCCUUGCCACCCGCAACCCCUCCCAAAAACAAAAAACAAAAACAAAACAAUCCAUAUGGAUGGUCAUAUAUACCUCAUGGGUGAGGUGAUAGGAAAGAGGCCCGUUUCUGUGCUGAGUCAUAUGUUGCUCAGUGUCCAUCACUCCCUCCUUUAAAAUCCCACUUUAUUACACGAAGCUGAUGGUUGGUGUCGGGGGGGAAAUGUCGGCUUGUGAUUGAUUGAUUUACAGAAACACAGGGGUAUGAGAACUGUUGGAAGGCUUCUUUUUUUUAAUUAAAGUAAUUUUAUUAUUGUAGGCUACAUGGAUUUUUUAGGAGCUGAAAAAAAUUUUUUGGCAAAGAUCUUUAAUCUUGUCAAACCGUGUGAUACACUUUAGCAGACAGAUAAAUAACAAAUCUGUGGAUGCAAUAUGUGGAACACAGAAAGUGGAAUAUGUAAACAAAUCUAACCAGUUAACCAGACACACUGGUUAUACUUCGCUUAUUUCAGCAUGACGUUACUAUGACGUCCACUUCAAAUUGGUCUAUUGACCUGUGUGUUAUUCAGUUGUUGUUUUUUCUAUUAUUGUGAUCUUUCACUGAACUGGUCUUGUUCUUUGAUGAUUUGACUAUUAUUUUACUAUCUUAGAUGUGAUGAGGACUGUUCUUUCCCUUGCCAGAUUACAAGAAAAAAAAUACCAUCACAAUUUGGAGGUUUUAGUGAUCUUGUAAUGAUGGAUCCAAGCCUACCUUUUUCUCCCCUUUCCUGGAAAAUAUUCAGACAGUAGGCAAGGGUUAAGACUUCAACCCAACUGAACAUCGCUGGAGAGAUCUGAAAAUGGCAGUUUGAUAGCUUGAGAGGUUCUGCAAAGAAGAAUGGGAGAAACUGCUGAAAAAUGGGUGUGCUAAGCUUGUGGCAUUAUACUCAAAAUUAUACUCAAAAUGACCUGACUGUACUUGCUGCCAAAGGUUUUUCAAGAAAGUAUUGAGCAAAGGCUGUGA